AUCCAGAUGAUGAGUCCCAAAAUAGGACAAGACACACGUCCUGGAU
rnacentral:hammerhead_ribozyme from 1 species